CACGUAGGGGGCAAGCGUUGUCCGGAUUUAUUGGGCGUAAAGAGCUCGUAGGCUGUUCGAUAAGUCGGGUGUGAAACCUCCAGGCUCAACCUGGAGACGCCACCCGAUACUGUCAUGACUAGAGUCCGGUAGGGGAGCGUGGAAUUCCUGGUGUAGCGGUGAAAUGCGCAGAUAUCAGGAGGAACACCAGUGGCGAAGGCGACUACCUGGCCUGUUCUUGACGCUGAGGCGCGAAAGCUAGGGGAGCAAACGGG
rnacentral:rRNA from 1 species